rnacentral:rRNA from 1 species
AGUGAACGCUGGCGGUAGGCCUAACACAUGCAAGUCGAACGGCAGCACAGUAAGAGCUUGCUAUUACGGGUGGCGAGUGGCGGACGGGUGAGGAAUACAUCGGAAUCUACUUUUUCGUGGGGGAUAACGUAGGGAAACUUACGCUAAUACCGCAUACGACCUACGGGUGAAAGCAGGGGAUCUUCGGACCUUGCGCGAUUGAAUGAGCCGAUGUCGGAUUAGCUAGUUGGCGGGGUAAAGGCCCACCAAGGCGACGAUCCGUGGCUGGUCUGAGCGGAUGGCGAGCCACACUGGAACUGAGACACGGUCAAGACUCCUACGGGAGGCAGCAUUGGGGAAUAUUGGACAAUGGGCGCAAGCUUGACCCAGCCAUACCGCGUGGGUGAAGAAGGCCUUCGGGUUGUAAAGCCCUUUUGUUGGGAAAAAAAAGCAGCAGGUUAAUACCCCGCUGUUCUGACGGUACCCAAAGAAUAAGCACCGGCUAACUUCGUG